rnacentral:siRNA from 1 species
UACAAAAUGAUGUCCAUAGA